CAGGAGAAACAAGAUGCAAUUGGCUGCUCAGUAGUCGGUGUAGGAUCUGUCUAACAUUGCUACCAACAGCUACAUCUGAUUACUGGGUCGCUGAUGGCAUCGCCAGGCUGCAGGC
rnacentral:pre_miRNA from 1 species